GACGAGGGGUGCGAGCGUUAUUCGGAAUUAUUGGGCGUAAAGGGUGUGUAGACGGCAUAUUAAGUCUGUUGUUAAAUCUCCCGGCUUAACCGGGAAUCAGCAGUGGAUACUGAUGUGCUAGAGGGUGGAAGAGAGAAGUGGAAUUCUCGGAGUAGCGGUAAAAUGCGUAGAUCUCGAGAGGAACACCAAUGGCGAAGGCAGCUUCUUGGUCCAUUUCUGACGUUGAAACACGAAAGCGUGGGGAGCAAAC
rnacentral:rRNA from 1 species